GACGAACGCUGGCGGCGUGCCUAAUACAUGCAAGUAGAACGCUGAAGGAGGAGCUUGCUCUUCUGGAUGAGUUGCGAACGGGUGAGUAACGCGUAGGUAACCUGCCUGGUAGCGGGGGAUAACUAUUGGAAACGAUAGCUAAUACCGCAUAAUAUUGACUAUUGCAUGAUAGUCAAUUGAAAGGUGCAAUUGCACCACUACCAGAUGGACCUGCGUUGUAUUAGCUAGUUGGUGGGGUAACGGCUCACCAAGGCGACGAUACAUAGCCGACCUGAGAGGGUGAUCGGCCACACUGGGACUGAGACACGGCCCAGACUCCUACGGGAGGCAGCAGUAGGGAAUCGUCGGCAAUGGGGGGAACCCUGACCGAGCAACGCCGCGUGAGUGAAGAAGGUUUUCGGAUCGUAAAGCUCUGUUGUAAGAGAAGAACGAGUGUGAGAGUGGAAAGUUCACACUGUGAC
rnacentral:rRNA from 1 species